CGAGGGGUACCGCCCAGAACUGCCCGGGAGACAAACUCCCGGACAAGUGGUGCUAGGAUAUCUGUGCCGGUCGUCAAUGUGUGACUUCGUGUAUAUUUACAUUUCAACCGUUGUCUUAUUAUUUCAUUUCAUUUAUUGACUGAGCUAAAACCUCUCCUUUUUUAAAUUACAUGUAAUCUUGUUUGUAUUACGUUUAACAUCAAUGUUUAUAUAUUUAUGUAACGUAUUUAUUGAUGUGUACAUGUCGAGAACCAAAUAAAAAGAACCUUUAUGUAACGAUC
rnacentral:misc_RNA from 1 species